CUUAAAUUCGUUUUACCCAGCACAUCUGAAGAGCUCUCGUUCUCCGUCCAUUGAAACGUUGAUCAUCGUAUGCUUCAGCCACACGCUCGCGUGCAUGGAUCCAGCCAUGAGUUCACGGAGAACACCGAAGAGCCAGCGAAGAAUCGUAUCCUAUAUGCACGCCAUCGAGAAAGGCCACGUUUGGCCAGCUUUAGGAAGUUAGGAAGGAAGCCAAUCGCUAGCAGCUAUUAGUUAUAAUAUAAAUCCUUGAAAGCAACGUGGCCCCAUCCUUUCGUUAAUAGUAUAACAGUGUCGGUGUUAUACGGAAUUAUGGGUUAUGGACACGAAAAGAAAUAUCGUAUAACGGUUAUUCAAAUUAUAUACGGCUCGCGCCGAAACUGACUAUUCGGAUCUCAAUGUGCUCUGUAUCUGCUGGGUUUGAUAGUCAAUUAAAAAAAAACCAAUUCCAUCUAUGGAUGGACUAAUGCGGGUAUUUAUAUAUACGAAAACUGACAACAACACGACCCCAAUAAGCGCUUCAAUUUUUUUGAAGCAGUAUGUGAUAAAAACUGCGUCAGUCAUCGUACUGAUACAAUAUGCACAAAUAAUAUAACAAAAGAGAUA